UAGCUUAGAAUUUCUGAUGAGUUGGUGGUUGAGACAUAGUUACCUUAGAAAGGUGGCUGUAGUGCCUUUAAACCUUCAACCACCAAAAACUACUCACUUUAAUUUUGUGGAGACAUGUGCUCAUUCUACAUUCUUUUAUUUCCCCCUAUAAAUAAGAGCUUCACUUGAAUGCAUUUUCCCAUUGAAAGCUAGCCAUCUUAGAUAUAUUCCAUACUAAUAUGCCUAUUCUCAAUAAUCAAAUUAUGUCUCUUUUCUUGAAAGCCAAUGAAACAAAUGGAGAAAGAAGAAAACGAAGGACAAAGCCCUUUCGAAGUUCGCUGGAGGCAACCUCGUAAACCAUUCUGGAACACUCAUUUGAGCAAGAAAGUUGGAGCUAGUACAAAGAUGAAACGACGAGGAUGAUGUAGUUUUAGCCAACCUCAACCUCGGACCUUCAUCUUUAAGGUCGAAAAUGGCGAAGACACGUGGAACCUUCAUCACCACUAUGCACAUAAUUUUCAUUCAAGAAAGUAUUGUGUAUGGCACGAAAGAUAAAGAGGAUGACUCUAAACUGAGGCCUAUACAUUCAUUAUUUAACUUGUUAUAGCAAUCAAGUUUACCAUUUAUUGUAGGUGAUCAAUGAACAUUUACUAAGUAGAGCUGUAUGUAAUUACUUUUUUUUCCGGGUGGCAAUCCCUUUCAUAUAUGAAAUGUAAGUACACGAAAAGAAAGGGGUAAAUAGUGUUGAAAUAAUAUGAUUGUACAAGUAUUUAUUACGUGUAUAAAACCUAAA